GAAUUUCAGGGGUGGUCUCAGAGAUGUUAUCAUCAUCGACCUUUUUCCCGGAGAGGAUUUCAAGAAAAAUCGAGGGGCGGCGCUGCUUGGUUAGGGUUUACAGAGGGGCGGCGGCGCCCCAAAUACCCUUCAACCCCGUCGCGCCACUUCCUCCUCCGCCCAGAUCUGCCCAGAUUCUCGGGUCUCCCCACAUCACCAUCUCUGACUCCCCAUUUUCCAGCGCCCAAAUUCUCGGGUCCGCUGGCUUGAGGGCCGACGUUUUCUCAAGCCGAAGAGCGGCGAGCGAGCGAAUUAGGGCUAACCCCCUUUUCUCAGGCGGCGACUCUGGUUUCCAUUUGGGCACCACUACCUGUUUCGNCUUCCCUUCCCCCUUCCCUCUCUCCCUCGACGGCUCUCACUCACUGUCUCACUUCAUCCAUCGCCGCCACUUCCUUCCCAUUUUCUGGGACCUCUGCAGCAACGACCGCCGCCCCCAAAUUCCCAACAACUCGCCGGACUUCCUCCCUCCACCGCUCCCAGAUACCCAACAACCCCGCCGCCCCAAAUCAGAAAUUGAAGAAUGGAGAAAAACUUCCAAAUUCUAGAAAAGAAAAAAAAACUUCAAAAAAACGCUCCUAAAUCAAGGAAAAUCGAGAAUUUCAGGGGUGGUCUCAGAGAUGUUAUCAUCAUCGACCUUUUUCCCGGAGAGGAUUUCAAGAAAAAUCGAGGGGCGGCGCUGCUUGGUUAGGGUUUACAGAGGGGCGGCGGCGCCCCAAAUACCCUUCAACCCCGUCGCGCCACUUCCUCCUCCGCCCAGAUCUGCCCAGAUUCUCGGGUCUCCCCACAUCACCAUCUCUGAC
rnacentral:lncRNA from 1 species